GUGCCAGCAGCCGCGGUAAUACGGGGGGGUGCGAGCGUUAAUCGGAAUAACUGGGCGUAAAGGGCACGCAGGCGGUGACUUAAGUGAGAUGUGAAAGCCCCGGGCUUAACCUGGGAAUUGCAUUUCAUACUGGGUCGCUAGAGUACUUUAGGGAGGGGUAGAAUUCCACGUGUAGCGGUGAAAUGCGUAGAGAUGUGGAGGAAUACCGAAGGCGAAGGCAGCCCCUUGGGAAUGUACUGACGCUCAUGUGCGAAAGCGUGGGGAGCAAACAGGAUUAGAUACCCUGGUAGUCC
rnacentral:rRNA from 1 species